CCUGGCUCAGGAUGAACGCUAGCGGCAGGCCUAACACAUGCAAGUCGAGGGAGGAGCUUUCGGGCUUCGACCGGCGGACGGGUGCGUAACGCGUAUACACUCUGCCUUUCACAUAGGGAUAGCCCGAAGACAUUUGGAUGAAUACCUAAUGGUAUAUCGGGAUGGCAUCAUUUUUAUAUUAAAGCUGCGGCGGUGAAAGAUGAGUAUGCGUUCUAUUAGCUAGUUGGUGAGGUAACGGCUCCCCAAGGCGACGAUAGAUAGGGGUUCUGAGAGGGAUAUCCCCCACACUGGUACUGAGAUACGGCCCAGACUCCUACGG
rnacentral:rRNA from 1 species